rnacentral:rRNA from 1 species
UACAGAGGGGGCAAGCGUUGUUCGGAAUUACUGGGCGUAAAGGGCGCGUAGGCGGCCCUCUAAGUCAGACGUGAAAUCCCUCGGCUCAACCGGGGAACUGCGUCUGAGACUGGGGGGCUUGAAUUCGGGAGAGGGAUGUGGAAUUCCGGGUGUAGCGGUGAAAUGCGUAGAUAUCUGGAGGAACACCGGUGGCGAAGGCGGCAUCCUGGACCGAUAUUGACGCUGAUGCGCGAAAGCCAGGGGAGCAAAC